UGUAGCUGCAAACCAGCUCAGUCCCGCUUCCAAUACGCAACCAUGUGACAAAAGAAUGAAAUUGAUUGCACCUCAUUCGCACACCCCUCCAUUUCCGCAAUUUCAUAAAUUGAGCUUCAAAGUCAUCCGCGAAAGAAAUUAACUUUGGGUGUCGGAAGAAGUUGCUUCAAUGGAAUAUGUCGUGCGAAUGAUGAAUAGUGAAACGGGUUGAAUGGUUUGUUUUAGAUGACUGGAAACGCAAAUCUGAAGGGAGAUUAGAGGAUGUGGUUGUUGAGCGAAUUAGUGAGAUUCCGAUGUUGAGAGUGCGAUGAAGAUUGAUGCAGGGUGGGGUUGAAGCUACCAGGCAAAGAUUCAAUGGUUUUUAUGGUACUCUCAAUGGUUUAGUUGUGGAUUUUUCGGUUGAAGAACCGAUCCCCCUCUAAUCUGCACCCGAUGAGUAUUUAUAGCAUGCUUCCCUCCGAAUAUAGUUAGAAAUUUGACCUAAACGUCAGUGAAAUGCAUUCUAAAUUCCCCUUGAAAUUCACAAUGAGUUGGUUACAAAUUAGGAAUUAGUUAGAGUAAUGAAUGGUUAUCAGUUCUGUUAAAUUCUGUUAGAAAUUUAGAAAGUUAGUUGGGGGUUAAAUCCAAAAUGAAAUGAAAAAUGGAAAUUAGUAAAUUUUUGUUGAAAUGAAAAUGAAUGAUUGUUAAUACCUCA